rnacentral:rRNA from 1 species
GAUUGAACGCUGGCGGCAUGCUUUACACAUGCAAGUCGAACGGCAGCGCGGGCUUCGGCCUGGCGGCGAGUGGCGAACGGGUGAGUAAUACAUCGGAACGUGCCCAGUAGUGGGGGAUAGCUCGGCGAAAGCCGGAUUAAUACCGCAUACGACCUGAGGGUGAAAGCGGGGGAUCUUCGGACCUCGCGCUAUUGGAGCGGCCGAUGGCAGAUUAGCUAGUUGGUGGGGUAAAGGCCUACCAAGGCGACGAUCUGUAGCUGGUCUGAGAGGACGACCAGCCACACUGGGACUGAGACACGGCCCAGACUCCUACGGGAGGCAGCAGUGGGGAAUUUUGGACAAUGGGCGAAAGCCUGAUCCAGCAAUGCCGCGUGUGUGAUGAAGGCCUUCGGGUUGUAAAGCACUUUUGGCGGGAACGAAAAGGACUGUGCCAAUACCACGGUUCGAUGACGGUACCCGCAGAAUAAGCGCCGGCUAACUACGUG